AUUGCUCAAGGUGGGAGGAAGCUGCUGUCGUAGGAGUCCUGUCUCUGGGGAUCACAACACAUGCAAAGGAAAUCCGAGCUGGACUAUGGGAAGAAUCAGCUGAAUGCCAAGCAGGCCAUGCAGUGCCACCAGGCAGUCCGUGAUGUGGCUGAGCCUGGUUGUUAAGGAGCUUUUAGCAUGUCUUUGAGCUGUCUCUCUGUCCCAGACUCACAGCAACACUGCAAAAGAUGAUACCUUAUCUGACUGCUCAACUCUGUAGUCAAGAAGUGCAGGAAAAGAAAAAAGCUAUUAUGUUCCACUCUCUCAGGUAAAAGUGGCCAAGUAAACUGACAUCAAAAUUGGAGGAAGACACAAGCCUGAGGGCCUGAGACAGGUGUCAAGAAGAUGGUGCCAGACCCUUUUCAUUGCCCAAACAUAGGACAAGGAGUAAUGGCCAUAAACUAACACUCAAGACGUUUCACCUCAACAUGAGGAGGAACCUCUUUCCAUUGAGGGUGGCAGAGCACUGGAGCAGGUGCCCAGGGAAGACAUGGAGUGUCCCUCUCUGAUGACCCUCAAAACCCACUUGGACACAUUCUUGUGUAACCUACUCUAGGUGACCCGGCCUUGGCAAGGGGGUUGGAGUAGCUGAUCUUCAGUGAUCCUUUACAACCCUAACAAUUCUGUAAUUCCAUGAAGGAAAGAUUUAAUGGCUCUGCUCUGUGAAAUGUGUUAUGCCUUUGGUGCCUUCUGGGAAGCAGCUGGUCAUCUGUUGGUAAUAAAGAUAACA